GUGCUUGCUUCAGCAGCAUGUAUACCAAAAUUAGAACGACAUAAGAAAGGUUAGCAUGGCUACUAAGUAAGGAUGAUAUGCAAAUUUGUGAAGCAUUCCAUAUUUUU
ensembl:snRNA U6 U6 spliceosomal RNA